ensembl:rRNA 5S_rRNA 5S ribosomal RNA
GCUUACGGCCAUACCACUCUGACAAAGCCUGAUCUCAUCUGACCCUCGGAAGCAAAGCAGAGUUGGGCCCUGGUUAGUAUUGGUUGGGAGACUGAAUGGGAAUACUAGGUGCUGUAAGCU